rnacentral:rRNA from 1 species
AUUGAACGCUGGCGGAAUGCUUUACACAUGCAAGUCGAACGGCAGCACGGGGCAACCUGGUGGCGAGUGGCGAACGGGUGAGUAAUACAUCGGAACGUGCCCAAUCGUGGGGGAUAACGUAGCGAAAGUUACGCUAAUACCGCAUACGAUCUACGGAUGAAAGCGGGGGAUCGCAAGACCUCGCGCGAAUGGAGCGGCCGAUGUAAGAUGAGGUAGUUGGUGGGGUAAAGGCUCACCAAGCCAACGAUCUGUAGCCGGUCUGAGGGGACGACCAGCCACAAUGGGACGGAGAGACGGCCCAGACUCCUACGGGAGGCAGCAGUGGGGAAUUUUGGACAAUGGGCGCAAGCCGGAUCCAGCCAUUCCGCGGGCAGGAUGAAGGCCUUCGGGUUGUAAACUGCUUUUGUACGGACCGAAACGGUUCUCUCUAAUACAGGGGGCUAAUGACGGUACCGUAAGAAUAAGCACCGGCUAACUACGUGCCAGCAGCCGCCGUAACAC